rnacentral:lncRNA from 1 species
CUGGGCUCCAGCUCGGCCAAGGCCACGAUGUCCACGGCGGGGUUGGGGCCCAGCUUCUUGGCCGACUCCACGUCGGCCUUCAUCUCCUCCAGGUCGCGUUUGAGCUUGGCGCGGCGGUUCUGGAACCAGGUGAUGACCUGGGCGUUGGUGAGCCCCAGCUGCUGGGCGAUCUGGUCCCGGUCCGCCGGCGACAGGUAUUUUUGGUAGAGGAAGCGCUUCUCCAGCUCGUAGAUCUGGUGGUUGGUGAAGGCCGUCCGAGACUUCCGACGCUUCUUCGGCGUCUGCCGCUGCCCGAAGAUCGUCAUCCCGUCCCUUCCUGCCGACGAGCCGUCACAUUGCCACCUCGCCCCGAACAAACCGCCCCCCCCCCCCCCUCCUUCCCCGGCCCUCCCGGAUCCCCCGCUCCCCUCCGCGCGCCCUCGGCUGCGCGCACCGCCGCCCUCCGACGGGACCCCCGCGCCCCCUCUUCGCCUUACCUUCGGCCGCCUGCAGCACGCUGACUUCCAGCCCCUUGAAGGUUUUGCUGGCCAGCUCCUCCAGGGCGCACAGCGGCGACGUCUGCGAGAGCAGCGCCCGGCCCGACAGCGGCAGCCCGGCCGCGGGGUGCUUCUCGGCGGCGGACAGCAGGUGGGCCGUCCCGCACAGCGCGUAACUCCUCCGCACCGACGGCUUGUUGAGGAUGUCCUCGAUGCUGAAAGGGGUGAGGGGUUUGUUGGAGUUAGCCGGAGGCGGGAGGUGAUCCAAAGGGCUCCUCCGUCGUUCUUCCCCCGAGGAUUCCCCCCACACCGCCCCGGCACGUAAUCAAAAAUUAAAAAUCAAAAAUGAAAAAUGAAAAAAGAGACAUAGAAAUGUAUAAAAAAAUAAAGGAGACUUCGAAGAGGGGCAGAGCAGCCCUCGCACCGAGCCCUCGGACCGGGGGGAAAGAGGCGAGAAGAGACGGGGUAAUUGACUAUUGCUAACAAGUUAUUGUUGAUUGGGAGGUAAUCAAUUAUCUUCAAUGACACUUUUCGCCCUCUCUCUCUCUCGCUCGCUCUCUCCCGCUCUGUCCAAUGCAGGCUUUUGCAAGUUCGGAGACCCAUUAAUUAGGAGGCGGUAUGGAGGUGGAGCCCGGUUGAAUUAUAAUGCUGAAUGCACUUGUCAUAUUCGGGCCCUGCUAUUUGUUAGGACAUAUAUAUUUUUAAAUUACAUUACAAAGCAGCCUUUAUUGCAUCGGGGUAAUACGGCAGAGUGAAUAAUAAUAAUAACAAAACAAAAACACGGCGGCAUCGUUUAAAAAAUUCUUUUACUUUAUUAUUAUUAUUUUUUAAUCGAGAUUUUUUUUUUCCUUCCUUUUCCUGUUUCUCCCUCCUCUAAAUUUCGGCUUCUGCUUUAUUUCAAACGUCUCCCUCCGGCUCAACCCGGAGCCCUUCUGCUGUUUUAAUGAGGGGAAGAAGGGGAGAACGUGUCUCCAGCCCCAGCAAUCCAAUCGGACGUGGGCUCCCAGCAAGAACAGCCGCGACGUGCCUACCCAGGGCCUGGCAAGGCGAGAACUCACUGUAUUUUAUUUUUAAGUAUUUCGAUGGGUACACCCAUCCCUCCUCCAUGCCGGGACAGAGAGCAGACGGGACCGCUUCCCCCGAACGACGACCGCACAGGGGUCCCCCUGCCCUGCGAUUUGGCUCUGGACAAAACUUUGUUGGCCGGAGGGGGGGUGGUGGUGGGGGGGCAGCGACACGGGGCUGCGACUGCCGAACCGCUCUGGCUCCUCCGAGAGCUGUAAUAUCUCCUCGGCUCCCGGCACGCGUGAAUAAUUCACCGGGCUGCCAAAUCUAAGUAACGUGUGUGGCAGCUCUGAAGGAGGCGAAGGCCCGUUUUUGGGGGGCAGGAGGAGGUGUGGGGAAUCAAUUGAAACUUAAUAUAGGGCGUGGGGGGGAGAAUGGCGGAAAUAAGGCAGGCAACUUCUUCUAAUAACAACUGGCUGUUAAUAAUUCAGGAGCAGUCAUUGGAUUAUAGCGCAAUAUCCGAAGUACGCGGUGCCGGCACAGUGCGGGUGGAUAAUGUAAUCGGAGCUCAUUUCGGCUUCCAAUAAAUUACAGCAGCAAAAGUUUCCUGUUAAAGCAGUUAUUUGUAUUUCUUUUUCUGAAGGUGAUCCCCCUCCCUCCUCCUCUUCCAACAACUGCAGUGAGGAAGUUAAUUAAAAACUAAUAUUCCCACCCCUUGCAAAAGCAGUACGGAGAUGCGGAGCGGGAGGCACUGCCAGAGUUUGCCCGUCAUCUCUUUCAACUUUGUGUGCUGCCAGG